UCCGGUUUGUCACCGGCAGUAUUCCAUGAGUCCCCAACUUAAUGCUGGCAACAUGGAACGGGGGUUGCGCUCGUUGCGGGACUUAACCCAGCAUCUCACGGCACGAGCUGACGACAGCCAUGCAGCACCUGUAUACGCUCCCUUGCGGGUCGGUCACCUUUCGGAUCCCUACCACGUAUAUGUCAAGCCCAGGUAAGGUUCUUCGCGUUGCAUCGAAUUAAACCACAUGCUCCACCGCUUGUGCGGGCCCCCGUCAAUUCCUUUGAGUUUCAGCCUUGCGGCCGUACUCCCCAGGCGGGGCACUUAAUGCGUUAGCGCCGGCACUCGGAGGGUCGCUCCCCCAAGCACCUAGUGCCCAUCGUUUACGGCGUGGACUAC
rnacentral:misc_RNA from 1 species